GUGCCAGCCGCCGCGGUAAUACCUGCAGCCCGAGUGGUGGCCGUUAUUAUUGGGCCUAAAACGUCCGUAGCCGGUUGGGUAGAUGCCUGUGUAAAUCGAACGGCUUAACCGUUCGAACUGCGGGUAGACCGCCCGACUAGGGACCGGGAGAGUCACGAAGUACUCCGGGGGUAGAGGUGAAAUUCUGUAAUCCUCGGGGGACUACCGGUGGCGAAGGCGUCGUGAUAGAACGGCUCCGACGGUGAGGGACGAAGCCCUGGGGCGCAAACCGGAUUAGAAACCCUAGUAGUCC
rnacentral:rRNA from 1 species